rnacentral:rRNA from 1 species
CCUACGGGAGACAGCAGUGGGGGAUAUUGCACAAUGGGGGAAACCCUGAUGCAGCGACGCCGCGUGUGGGAAGACGGUCCUCUGGAUUGUAAACCACUGUCCCCAGGGACGAAGAUGACGGUACCUGGGGAGGAAGCUCCGGCUAACUACGUGCCAGCAGACGCGGUACUACGUAGGGAGCGAGCGUUAUCCGGAUUUACUGGGUGUAAAGGGAGCGUAGACGGCAGAGCAAGUCUGAAGUGAAAGCCCGCGGCCCAACUGCGGGACUGCUUUGGAAACUGCCCGGCUAGAGGGCUGGAGAGGUAAGCGGAAGGCCUAGUGUAGCGGUGAAAUGCGUAGAUAUUAGGAGGAACACCAGUGGCGAAGGCGGCUUACUGGACAGUAACUGACGGUGAGGCGCGAAAGCGUGGGGAGCAAACAGGAUGAGAUACCCUUGUAGUC